AUACGGAGGGGGCGAGCGUUGUUCGGAAUUACUGGGCGUAAAGGGCGCGUAGGCGGAUUAUCAAGUCAGGGGUGAAAGGCCUGGGCUCAACCUGGGAAUUGCCUUUGAAACCGACGGUCUAGAGUCCGGAAGAGGAUGGCGGAAUUCCCAGUGUAGAGGUGAAAUUCGUAGAUAUUGGGAAGAACACCAGUGGCGAAGGCGGCCAUCUGGUCCGGUACUGACGCUGAGGCGCGAAAGCGUGGGGAGCAAACAGGAUUAGAAACCCUGGUAGUCC
rnacentral:rRNA from 1 species